rnacentral:rRNA from 1 species
UACAGAGGGUGCAAGCGUUGUUCGGAAUUAUUGGGCGUAAAGCGCGUGUAGGCGGCUUUGCAAGUCGGGUGUGAAAGCCCUCAGCUUAACUGAGGAAGUGCGCCCGAAACUGCAUGGCUUGAGUACCGGAGAGGAUGGUGGAAUUCCCCAAGUAGAGGUGAAAUUCGUAGAUAUGGGGAGGAACACCGGUGGCGAAGGCGACCAUCUGGACGGAUACUGACGCUGAGACGCGAAAGCGUGGGGAGCAAACAGG